AAAUUAUAUAACAUUAUUAACAUUAAUCACAUAAUGUGAGAUAAAAUAGAAACAAACAUAUGAGGUACAAUUGAACCUAAUGAUGGAUUUUGAUGCAUUUCAGGCUCAACCUUCAAGAAAUAGAAGCAUUGGUGUUCUUUCAAAUGACAUCACGACUGCCUUAGAUUAAAACUUGAAGGAGGUGACAUUCCCCAGAAAAGUAAGAUUGUCAAGUUUUAUCAUUUUUGUUGUUCACCAUACCAUCCCAUGUUGGGCUUGCCCCCCAGUCCAGAUCAACAGUUUGUUGAGGAAAAGCUUGGAAUUCAGUUGAUGCCUAUUCUUGCUGUGAAGAGGAGCAAUCUGAACUGAAGGGGAGAACAGACUCCAAACAAGAGUAGAUGUGAUGACACCAAGAAAGG